rnacentral:lncRNA from 1 species
UUUUUGUUGACAAAACCAAAAUGAUAUUCAUUCAUUCAAAUCGAGAGAUUACAUCAUUCCACACCGCUAAAAACGUAAAUGAUGAAUCUGUGAACAAACUCACAACAUCCAAGUUAAUAGCAUAUACGACAUAAUGCCUACAAAAAUAUUUGAUAAAAUUAAAGUGACCGGAAUAUCUAUGACCUCUGGGUCUGCAACGUUGACGCCCAAAGUUUUGAUUGAAUAAUCGAUCUUUCAAUAUGAAUCAAAUGAACACCGCAAGAAGACGGUAAAUCAAACAACGACGCACAAGACGACGAACAACAAACAACCACAUGUAUAUGAUGAAAUCACAAAGAAAAAACCUAGAUCUAUGUGAAAAUCACUUAUUUAGAUUGAAAUAGAU